rnacentral:misc_RNA from 1 species
GCUGAUGUCACAGAGCGUGUUCUUGCUGCUUGCUACAAGGCCCUCAAUGACCACCAUGUCCUCCUCGAGGGUACAUUGUUGAAGCCCAACAUGGUCACUCCCGGAUCUGAUGCCCCUAAAGUUGCACCAGAGGUCAUUGCGGAGUACACCGUACGUGCCUUGCAGCGAACAAUGCCAGCUGCUGUUCCUGCUGUGGUUUUCCUGUCUGGUGGUCAGAGUGAGGAAGAGGCUACCCGCAACCUCAACGCCAUGAACAAACUUCAAACC